rnacentral:misc_RNA from 1 species
UACGGAAGGUGCAAGCGUUGUUCGGAUUGACUGGGCGUAAAGAGCACGUAGGCGGGCUUGUAAGUCGAUUGUGAAAGCCCCGGGCUUAACCUGGGAACUGCAGUCGAAACUGUGAGUCUUGAAUAUUUGAGAGGUUGGUGGAAUUUCAGGUGUAGAAGUGAAAUUCGUAGAUAUCUGGAGGAAUACCGGAGGCGAAGGCGGCCAACUGGUGAAAUAUUGACGCUGAGGUGCGAAAGCGUGGGGAGCAAACAGG